rnacentral:rRNA from 1 species
AGCGAAUUGUGAUAAUUUUACGAAUCACCGGGCAACUGUGUGAUGAUGCAAAAGAGUUUCUGCCCUAUCAACUUUCGAUGGUAUUCUAGUGGAAUACCAUGGUUUUGACGGGUAACGGAGAAUUUGGGUUUGAUUCCGGAGAGAAAGCCUGAGAGACGGCUAUCACUUCUAAGGAAGGCAGCAGGCGCUAAAUUGCCCAAUCUUAAUUCGAGGAGGCAGUGACAAGAAAUACCGAUAUUGGUCCUUUAAGGAACAAUGAUUGGAAUGAGAACAACGUAAAGACAUUAACGAGUAACUAUUGGAGGGCAAGUCUGGUGCCAGCAGCCGCGGUAAUUCCAGCUCCAAGGGCGUAUAUUAAAGUUGUUGCGGUUAAAGCGCUCGUAGUUGAAUUUCGACUGAUUGUUAUUGAGAAUCAAACUACGUUUGAUAUCUUCUUUAACAUUAAUCUUCUUUCUAAAUGAUUUAUCAUUUAGAUAUUUUACUUUGAAAAAAUUAGAGUGUUUCAAGCAGACAAAUGUCUGGAUAUUACAGCAUGGAAUAAUGAAAAAAGACAUCAGCCUUAAUUUGUUGGUUUCUUUGGCUAGUGUAAUGACUAACAGGGACAGUUGGGGUCGCUCGUAUUAGCUCGCUAGGGGUGAAAUCCUAUGAUUGAGCUAGGACGAACUACUGCGAAAGCAUUCGACAAGGAUGUCUUCAUUAAUCAAGAACGAAAGUUGGGGGAUCGAAGAUGAUCAGAUACCGUCGUAGUCUCAACAGUAAACAAUGUCGACCAAAGAUUGGGAAACAUUACAUGGAUGAUUUUACCAGCAUUUUAUGAGAAAUCAUAAGUAUUCAGACUCCGGGGGGAGUAUGGUCGCAAGACUGAAACUUAAAGGAAUUGACGGAAGGGCACCACCAGGAGUGGAAUCUGCGGCUUAAUUUGACCCAACACGGGGAAACUUACCGGGUCCGGACACUAGAAGGAUUGACAGACUGAUAGCUCUUUCUUGAUUUAGUGAUUGGUGGUGCAUGGCCGUUUUUAGUUGGUGGAUUGAUUUGUCUGGUUAAUUCCGAAAACGAACGAGACCUUAACCUAUUAAAUAGUUCGUUUAAUCAGACUCGCAAGGGUUAUUUACAUUGGAAAAGUGAUACUUCUUAGAGGGACUCUUUGCAUUUUAGUAAAGGGAAGUUUAAGGCGAAGACAGGUCUGUGAUGCCCUUCGAUGUUCCGGGCUGCACGCGCAUUACACUGAUGUCUUCAAUAAGUUUUUUUCCUAGUUUGAAAAGACAAGGUAAACUUUGAAAAGGAUAUCGUGCUUGGGAUAGUGCUUUGUAAUUAUCGCACUUAAACGAGGAAUUCCUAGUAGGUACAAUUCAUCAAAUUGUGCCGAUUACGUCCCCGCCCUUUGUACACACCGCCCGUCGCUUCUACAGAUUGAAUGCUGCGAUGAGGACUCAGGAUUGGUUUACUGUUUUAGUCUGAAAGGAUCAUAGAGUAGACUGAGAAUUUGUUCGAAUCUUAUUGUUUAGAUGAAGGAGAAGUCGUAACAAGGUU